CGGAGCCCGCCGGCGGUGUGCAGUGCUCUCUCCGCGCGCGCGAGUGGGGCCCACGUGUGGGGCCCGGUGGUCGGGCGCUGACCACUGGACUCGGAGCGGGCGCGAGCGGCGGGUGACAGAUGGUGCCCAAAUGAGGGACCCGUACUUUCUGGCACAUACACAGGAGGAUAAACAAGUCAAACCCCGUUCUGGUGCGGGCCUCUUGAAGCAACUUGCACGCUUGCAGAUCUCGGUCAGCAGCUGCGGCCGCUCGACAUGGGAAACCAGCAGUCGCAUGGAGCCGAGCCGGGCUCGGCGUGGGUGCGCUCGUUGCCCCGGGACCGCUCGGGCCGGCUGCUCACCUACGGCAGGCCGGCGCUC